CCUACGGGAGGCAGCAGUGAGGAAUAUUGGUCAAUGGCCGCAGGGCUGAACCAGCCAAGUCGCGUGAGGGAUGACGGUCCUAUGGAUUGUAAACCUCUUUUGUCAGGGAGCAAAGGGCGCCACGUGUGGCGUUUUGCGAGUACCUGAAGAAAAAGCAUCGGCUAACUCCGUGCCAGCAGCCGCGGUAAUACGGAGGAUGCGAGCGUUAUCCGGAUUUAUUGGGUUUAAAGGGUGCGCAGGCGGAAUGUCAAGUCAGCGGUAAAAUUUCGGGGCUCAACCCCGUCGUGCCGUUGAAACUGGCGGUCUUGAGUGGGCGAGAAGUAUGCGGAAUGCGUGGUGUAGCGGUGAAAUGCAUAGAUAUCACGCAGAACUCCGAUUGCGAAGGCAGCAUACCGGCGCUCAACUGACGCUCAGGCACGAAAGCGUGGGUAUCGAACAGGAUUAGAUACCCGGGUAGUC
rnacentral:rRNA from 1 species